AGACUCUGGGACCUUGACUCCUUCAUGGAGGCAAAACAGUAUUUAGGGUCAGAGGACAGUUAACAGUUCACAGAAGAUAUAAAGAGAGGUGGAGGAGCUGUGAGGGUUGGUGGUGGUGAAGGUCCACUCCAGUGUGAUGUCCUGGUUCUCCUCUGCCUGAUAGGAGGUCUGGGUCACAUUCACUACAAAUGUUCCUGUUGAGGAGACAGAGAGGGAAAGUGAGGAGAAGGAUGCCAGUGAGCCUGUUGGACUUCUGCACUCUCAGAACAAAAGCCUUCUGAACUCCAAGAAGAAGCUUGAGUCUGACCUGGUCCAGGUCCAGAGU